GUGGCUUAUUAAUAAAAUGGAGGAUCAGAGCUAUGAAGAGAGACAGAGAGACGAGCUGGAGUUCCUUCAGUUUGUGUUCAUGAGCGACUUUGAAGACAUGAGAGAGAAGGACACGUGGAAGAUCCAAAGACCUCCUGAGAUAAUGAUAAAACUAACGCCACAGAAGAGCAUUAGUACUAGUGUACAGAGACUGCAGAUUUCUGUCAAGUUACAUGCUAAGUAUUCUUCCGAUUAUCCAGACACGCCCCCUCAAUUAGACCUUAUUGAGCCACACCUUCUCUCCAAGGACCUCGUUAAAGAAUUAUUAACUGAAAUUAAUGACCUAGCUAAGAGUAGAAUUGGAGAGGUGAUGAUGUUAGAAAUAGCUCAACACGUCCAAUCAUUUCUACACAAACACGACCGACCCCCGGUAUCACUCUAUGAGGAAAUGGUUAAGAGGAGAGAGAAAGAAGCUGAAGAAGAAAGCAAAAAGAAGUUUCAAGAACAAGAAGUUGCCAGACACCAAAGACAAGAAGAGAUUGCUCAGGAGCUGCAGCGGAGACAGGAUCAACUGAGAGAGAAACUAUUACAAGAUUUUGACGAGGAGAGCUCCAGCGAUGAUGAACUUGUUACUAAAAAUAGUAACAAACAAACCAGUCAGAAGGACAGUGAUGACAUCACUAACCCUCCCCUACCUCCCCCUCUUGAGGAUAAUCCGAUUGUUGGACGAGGGAACGGGAACAUCCUCCGUGGGAAACUGCUGGGAGACAGUAGUCAUGGUUACUAUUCAGUGUACUGUGGUAUGGAGGUUGAUAGUGGCAGUCUAGUGUGUAUCUAUGAAUGGAUAAUACCCUGCAAGACACAGAAGAAGGCUGACACUAGGAGGAGCAGACAAGUUGCUAGUAUCAGACAGGAAUAUGAUUCAUUCAGUGAGAGGUUCAUCAAUCACUCAUCAAUUGUCAAAUAUUUAUUAAUGAGACACAAUCUCACCGAACACGGGAUACUAGUGGAGGUUACUAUGGAGUACAUUACUGGUGGUAGUCUGAACUCUCUUCUUCAAGGAUCAAGUUCCUCUCCAAUAACUGGAAAAUCCCUCCAGCUUUAUAGUAAGCAGUUGCUGGAGGCUGUAGCUUAUCUUCACUCACAAGGAAUAGUUCACAAUGACAUAAGGCCGUCACUGGUUUUUAUUGAUCCUGUUCAAGGUGUCAAACUAGCUGGUCAUACCAUAAUCAAGAGGUUAUCUGAUUUGACCGGUAAAGUUAACGAGGAGGCGUGGCCUAGAGGCUUCUUCACUAAACUAGGAGGAAAGAAAACCGAUAUUUUAAAACUAGGUAUGGUUAUAUUCUGUAUGUCUGUUGGUCGGGUUACUGUCUCAUACCCGCCUGAUGUUCCUGAACAUUUCAGUGAAGACUUUAAAGAUUUUUUAAACAAGUGUCUCAAUAAUAAUGAAUACCAGCGAUACCCUGCUCAUGAGUUACUGGUUCAUCCGUUCAUUACUCCGCCCACUUUUAUCCCUGGAUCUAUAGACCAUACCCACAGGACAGAGGCUGGUUUUGGGCCGCUAAGAGAUAAAAGUGCUGACUCAUCACUAGCUGAUCCUGUCUCUCAUGCUGGAGGCAGGUCUCGUCUGGAGGCAGAGUUUGAGGUACUGGAGGUGCUGGGUAAAGGAGGCUUUGGGGACGUCAUUAAAGUUCGUAACUACCUGGACAGCAGACUGUACGCCAUUAAGAAGGUGAGACUGACUGGCGGCAGUAAAAUGAUGACCAAACUAACUCGAGAGGUGGAGCUAUUGUCACAAAUGAACCACGAGAAUAUCGUCAGGUAUUAUAAUGCCUGGAUUGAGAAGUACAGCGAGCCUAAUCACCAUGGCAACGAGGAGGAGGGGGAGGAGUUUAGUGAUAGUUCGGAAGAUGAAGACACGACAGAAGAAGAAGAGGAGGAGGAGGAGGAGAGAGAGGAAGGACUGUCCUUCAUUGAAUUCAAAUUAGACGAAUCUACAACACUAAACUCAUCAGAUCAGAUCAGAGAUGAUUCCUACUCCUUCAGUAGUGAUGUCUUCACUGAUACUGAAGACAGGGACGUGUUCAAAGGGAAGGUUGAUACCCCUGGUACUAAUGUGGCUACUCUAUUGGAGGCUGACCUAAUGGUAACCACACCCAGGAGAGGAUUCAUACAUUCGGAGUCUUCUGAUUCUGUGGUAUUUCAGGACACUAGUUUAAUGGCUCCUCCUGGAGGAGAGGGAGAGGAGGGAAGCACUGCAGCUGCUGGUGGUGGUGGUGGUGCUGGUGGUGGUAGAGCAAAGCAAAAGCAAACAGGACAAUCACAGUACCUGUACAUACAGAUGGAGUACUGCUCCAAUCAAACCCUUAAGGUAUUGAUUGAUUCCGGUCAGCUAGUGAAGAGCCCAGGGUUUGAGUUAGGCUGGCAGCUGUUUCGAGAGAUCACUGAAGGACUGGCCCACAUUCACUCCCAGGGGAUGAUCCACAGGGACCUCAAACCAGUCAAUAUAUUCCUUAACUCUUCCGGACAUUGUAAGAUUGGUGACUUUGGACUAGCUACAACCUUCAGUAAAUACCACACAGGACUAUCAAGACAGCAAUCCAUACCCAGCAACACCAGUAUACUAGCUGGUGACACUGGUCUAGUCGGUACUAUGCUGUAUUUAGCUCCAGAGCUUCUAAAGUCGGUAGUCAAAUACACUCAAAAAGUGGACAUGUAUAGUUUGGGGAUCAUCCUGUAUGAGAUGUCCCACCCACCACCUGCUACAGUGAUGGAGAGGGUUAAGAUACUGACUGAUGUUAGGAAGAAGGAGAUCGUCUUUUCUGAAAGAUUCAAGACAUCAAAGAAGAUGAGCAAACAGCUGUUUGUUGUCAAGUGGUUAUUAAACCAUAGUCCAGCUGAGAGACCAACCAGUGCCCAGUUACUGAACAGUUCACACGUACCAAGACAGAUCGAGGAGGAGCAGCUGCAAGAAGCUGUCGAACACACUCUACAGAAUCCCAACUCCUCCCAGUACAAGAGACUAAUGGAGAAACUCUUCUCUCAAGAGAAUUCAAAACUUUUUGAAAUGUCUUUCUUCUCUGAGCAUUCAAGCCUUGACCUGGAUAAGGUCAAUAAAUCAUCCUUCAGUCCUACAUAUUUCCUAUUGCAGCAGUUUGUGUGGAAUGUGACUGAAUCAGUAUUCAAUAAACACUGUGGUUUGUGUGUUAAUGUUCCUUUUCUUGAGCCAAUGACUGAGUCCUUGGUUGGAAUGGAGGGAACAGUCCAGCUGCUGGAAUCAACUGGAAAAAUAAUAACAUUACCACAGCAUCACUGGUUGUCAUUUUCUCGUUAUGUUUUGCAACACGAUAUCACUUACCUCAAAAGAUAUGAAUUAUUCAAAGGGUAUCAGUUGUCACGGCUACCGGGGACACACCCAAAGGAAAGACGUCAAUUUAUAUUUGACAUUGUGUCCCCACCCACUGCCACACCUACUGUCACGCCUACUCACUCAGCAAGAAGUUAAUUUAUGAAUGCGAAUUGAUAUCCAUUGCAACAGAAAUACUAUCAGAUUUACAAAUUAAUCAAGUGUAUAUUA
rnacentral:misc_RNA from 1 species